rnacentral:rRNA from 1 species
GUGAAGCGGCAACAGCUCAAAUUUGAAAUCUGGCCCCCCGCGGGCCCGAGUUGUACUUUGGAGAGGACGCUUCUGGCGCGGCGCCGUCCGAGUUCCCUGGAACGGGACGCCGGAGAGGGUGAGAGCCCCGUACGGGCGGCCGCCUAGCCUCUGCGAAGCUCCUUCGACGAGUCGAGUAGUUUGGGAAUGCUGCUCAAAAUGGGAGGUAAAUUUCUUCUAAAGCUAAAUACCGGCCAGAGACCGAUAGCGCACAAGUAGAGUGAUCGAAAGAUGAAAAGCACUUUGAAAAGAGGGUCAAACAGUACGUGAAAUUGUUGAAAGGGAAGCGCCUGUGGCCAGACUUGCGCCCCGCGGACCACCCGGCGCCUCGCGCGCCGGGGCACGCCAGCGGGGCGCAGGCCAGCAUCGGCUCUCUCGGGGGGACAAAGGCCGCGGGAACGUAGCGCCCUCGCGGCGUAUUAUAGCCCGCGGCGCCAUGCCCCCGGGGGGGCCGAGGACCGCGCUCCGGCAAGGAUGCUGGCGUAAUGGCCACCGGCGACCCGUCUUGAAACACGGACCAAGGAGUCAAGCAUUGGGGCGAGUGUCUGGGUGGCAAGCCCGCACGCGGAAUGAAAGUGAACGCAGGUGGGAGCUUCGGCGCACCACCGACCGAUCCUGAUGUCCUCGGAUGGAUUUGAGUAGGAGCCCCGCCGCU